GCCGUCACCAAACAACAGCAGUCCGUCGGCCGGCCGCCGCUAUCCUCCUCCUCCUCCUCCUCCUCCAUCAGCUUCUUUCACAUUUAGUUCGUUUCGAUUUGCUUCUUCUUGCGAUGGUUGAUCAGAGAUUGCUGCGGUGAUGACACAUUGUGGACUAGAGUUUCUGAUACUACCUCUUCAGUAGUAUCUGAAGACAACCCCUUGGCUGUCUGAGCUCCCAGAUCUCGUUUCAUCGGUUAAUCUGUUCUUGCUUCCGUUGUUUCCGUGUUAGUUUCUUAUUUGCGGCGGCUGAUUCGGGUUUUGGAAGAGCGGUGAUGAUUCUAUGUGGACUAGAGUUUCUGAUUCUGCUACUUCGGCAGUAUCUGCAGACAAACCCUUGGCUGUCUGAGCUCUUAGAUUUUCCCCAAUCGAUGCCCUUUACCUGUAGAUUAGAUCUAGUUUAUCUUUGGGUUUCAUGCGUCCAUUACCAAUUCCGGAGGAUGAUUUUUGUUCCUCACGGUGUAAUGGCUCGGACGCGACAUGAUAUUCUCUCAGAUGUGUGGUAUAUCCUGAUUGGUGGCGUUCUCGGUGCCAAGCUGAUCCUGGAAACGCCACAUAUAUUCACAUAUCAUUUGUUGUUUCGUUUUUGGGAUCUAGAUGAUGCGAAUCUUUGAAAGGGAAAGCGCCUUGUGGCGACCAUGUCAGUUCUUUCGUAAUUGAUAGGAAGAUCUGAUAGAUUCCUUAAACUGUGCUAGUAUUUAUAUUUUUUUAUGAAGUAUUGUUGGUAAUUACAUUGUGGAUGAUGAGAUCACAAGUAAAAUACAGUUAUCCCUGUCUUACUUCUUCGGAAGGGUGCUGAGAAUACUUUGAAUCUGACACAUCUAGGGUACCUUGAUCAAUCUAUUUAUGUGCUCUUGUUCUAACUUUUUUAUUUUUCUCAAUUGUUCGAUCUGUAGCCAGUGAUGAUCUGUAAUUGGUUGCUGAACAGGCACAUUGAUUGUCUGCACUCUGUUGAUAUUAUGCAUGAACUAGGACGGUCUGAGGCUAUUGAUGAUCCGUACUUGUUUGCUUCUGGUGUUUACAUUAACCUGUUUUGAGCGCAGCAUCUGGCAUUAUUACAUUGCGAUACUGAUGUAGAUAGCUUUAGAUUUCCGUGCACCUUGGUUAAGUACAAAGCUAACGUCGUUUAUGGGUUUUGCAGAUAUUACAUCUGUACCAUGUCGUAAAACAUUUUGUGCUACCUUCUAAAUUUGUUAAGUUGCAUCUGGUGAUGGCAGUGACGACUUGCUAAUAUUCAAGCUCAACAGACCAAAUCACAGGUCAUCUCUUCAGAGCGCAUGAUGAUUAGCUACAUGUUGGAAUUACCAUCAGAUUUUUAGUGAUGAUAAUAUUUGCGGCUUACUGACGCUCAUUCUACUAAGCGCAUCUGCCUUCUAUGGUAUUUACGUUGAUUUCCUUCUUAGUGUGAUCUUUGUAGGGUUUUGUUCGACAUUGAUUUAUUUACUUUUUGCUUGGAAAAUUAUGGUGAUGAUGAUGCAUUUAAGGCUUGUUUCUCAUAACAUUCGCAGUUGCCGCCUAAGAACUUUCGCCUUGCCAGGCUUGAGAGUUGAUGCUGCUAAUUCCUUCCUUGGAUGUCUGAGCCAGAUGUUUUCCUCGCCUGAUUAUUUCUUUGCUUUGCCUGUGUUUUUUAAUGAAUCUUUUUGGUUCUUUCUGGAGUCUGGACAAUGAUGAAAAACACGAUCAAAACACACCAUCUUUCGGGACUGAUUGGCGCGCUCUGCGUUCCAUGCUGUCAGAUCUGCAAUUCUGAUGUCCAGACCACCAUUUUUCACUUUUCACGUACAUAGUAAUAUUAGCCACUAAGUGACGUUAUUCUUAUACAAAUCAAGAUUACUAUAUUCUUAGUGUAGACCUGUGAUGAAAAACUUUCGGACUGAUUGGUUGCUAUGCAGCGCUAUGCCAAGCCACUAGAGAUUCUUUCUGCUGCGCCAUGCCAAGCCAGAGCCAGACUGCCAGAAGCUGCCCUGGCAGUGAAAGCGAUGAAGGGGUAGAAGCAAGAUGGGUAGAUGAAGCUCUGAUGAGAAAUCUGUCCAAUGUAUGAUCUGCAGUUUUUUAAAGAUAGAAGUGCAAGAAGGUUGCCAACUUGCCAUGCGAUCAGAUUGUCUGAACUCUGAACUUGGUGCAUAAAUUCAGAUAAUCGAAGACAGCAAGUCAGUGUCAGCUACUGUGUGUGUGUAUUUCUUUUGUCUUUGUCAUUCGGUGGUGUGAUGAGCUAGAUUAGCUAUCCAUCCGGCUUGCAGCGACUGGCUCCUACUAUACUGCUGAACAAAAUAGAAGGUGCCUAAAACCGAAAAUGCCGAACGACGCUCCUUUUGCUGUGGUGAAAGACACCAUCUUCACAAAAGGCGAUGCAUGGAAGCAUCAGCCCAUUUCCUAUUCAAUCAUGUGGAAUCCUUGGCGAACCUGAAGCAAAACUCUACCUCCUAUGCACACCGCGCUGUUCAAGCCUCCCGUGCCUAAUAUCAUUCGCCCUCAGGCUUGAGAA